rnacentral:rRNA from 1 species
CACGUAGUUAGCCGGUGCUUAUUCUUACGGUACCGUCAUGACUCCAGGGUAUUAACCCAAAGCUUUUCGUUCCGUACAAAAGCAGUUUACAACCCGAAGGCCUUCAUCCUGCACGCGGCAUUGCUGGAUCAGGCUUUCGCCCAUUGUCCAAAAUUCCCCACUGCUGCCUCCCGUAGAAGUCUGGGCCGUGUCUCAGUCCCAGUGUGGCUGAUCGUCCUCUCAGACCAGCUACAGAUCGUCGGCUUGGUAAGCUUUUAUCCCACCAACUACCUAAUCUGCCAUCAGCCGCUCUAGUAGCACAAGGUCUUGCGAUCCCCUGCUUUCAUCCGUAGAUCUCAUGCGGUAUUAGCUACUCUUUCGAGUAGUUAUCCCCCACUACUAGGCACGUUCCGAUGUAUUACUCACCCGUUGCCACUCGUCAGCAUCCGAAGACCUGUUACCGUUCGACUUGCAUGUGUAAGGCAUGCCGCCAGUCGUUCAAUCUGAGCCUAGGAA